UACGGGGGGGAGCAAGCGUUGUUCGGAUUUACUGGGCGUAAAGGGCGCGUAGGCGGCCACCGCAAGUCAGUUGUGAAAGCUCUGGGCUUAACCCAGAAAGGUCAACCGAUACUGCGGGGCUAGAGUGCAGAAGGGGCAACUGGAAUUCUCGGUGUAGCGGUGAAAUGCGUAGAUAUCGAGAGGAACACCGAUGGCGAAGGCAGGUCUCUGGGCCGAUACUGACGUGAGGAGCGAAAGCGUGGGGAGCGAACAGG
rnacentral:rRNA from 1 species